rnacentral:rRNA from 1 species
ACUGCUAUCGGGGUCCGACUAAGCCAUGCGAGUCAAGGGACUCUUUUGAGUACCGGCGAACGGCUCAGUAACACGUGGCUAACCUACCCUCGGGUGGGGGAUAACCUCGGGAAACUGAGGCUAAUACCCCAUAGGGGAAGAGGUCUGGAACGAUCCUUCCUCGAAAGCAUUAGCGCCCGAGGAUGGGGCUGCGGCGGAUUAGGUAGUUGGUGGGGUAACGGCCCACCAAGCCUACGAUCCGUACGGGCCCUGAGAGGGGGAGCCCGGAGAUGGACACUGAGACACGGGUCCGGGCCCUACGGGGCGCAGCAGGCGCGAAACCUCCGCAAUGUGCGAAAGCGCGACGGGGGGACCCCGAGUGCUCAUGCUCUGCAUGAGCAUUUCCGGAGUGUAAACAGCUUCGGG